rnacentral:rRNA from 1 species
CCUUAGCGCGGUGGUCCCACCUGACCCCAUGCCGAACUCAGAAGUGAAACGCCGUAGCGCCGAUGGUAGUGUGGGGUCUCCCCAUGCGAGAGUAGGGAACUGCCAGAC